rnacentral:snoRNA from 1 species
ACGACUGUACUUGAACAGGAUCUGUUCUCUAGGUCGUACUUCAGUCCAUACCGAGAGGUAUAGACAAACCGAUUUACCCGGACGAUGAGACUGAGCCCACCGGCUUGAGCGCGACCGUACGGUGCUUGGUACUAUUGUGCCAUGCGGCCCAUAGAUGACCGUUCACUCCGAGCUUGCUCGGUUGUGAAGGCCGGGCGGGCAGUCUGACGGGUC